ACACCUGCCUGGCAGGGGAGAUGCCUGUUGUGGUGUCAGGGUGGUUUUCCCAGGGCGAGUCUUCUCCUUGGCAUUUCAAAUGUGCUGACCUCUGCAAUUCCCCUAAAUGGGGGAAAUGAGUUCACUGUGGUAGUGGGCACUGUAUUUACACUCUCCCAUG